CUGUUCAUAGAAAAGUGUUUUGCCCUUUUAACCAUUCCUUUUUAAUGUUAUUCCUAUUUUGCCCUUUUCUCCUCUCGAAACUUCUUCUCCUUCGACGGUCCAAAAUCCGCCGGCUUCAAUCUCAUCUUCUUCGCGAACUUCAUUUUGGUUAUAUGCUUCUUCGCCGAUUUUAUUUAUGCACUGUGAUCCUAAUUAUUCCUCUUCUCUUCUCCUCUUUGUAACAUCUUUUCUUCUGUAUUCCACUUAAUUACUAAUAUAGGGUUUCUUCUCUUCCUUAAUUGCCAAUUUUUCAAGAAAUCUGCAUGUUUUAUAAUUGAUCGGUAAUAGUUAGUAUCCUAUUCUGAACUAUUCUUCUCAUUUUCUCUAUCUCUGUUUUAUUAUUUGAUUGUGAUUUGAGUUGGUAUGGUUCCUAUAAGUAGCAAUCCCUAAUUCUGAAAGCAUUGUUGCUGAGUUGAAAUUCAAAGUAUCGACGAUGAUCCUUCAGAAAUUGAGGCAAUGACAGUCCAAGAACUCAGAACAACAUUGAGGCUGCAUUAAUGGGGAAGAAGCAAGAAUGUGGUUAUACAUUCUUCUACUUUUAUUUUAUGACAUUUAGAUUCUUUUCUCAGACAUGCAGUGGUGCAAAAACUCAAAAGCGCUUGAAGCUCCGGAAAAACUCAAAGGCUCUGGUAUCAGUGGUAUGUCUGGUUUUCUGGUGUUUUAUCAACUUGAUGUUACUAACAGUAAAGUUUUCUGUUCUGGAAGCUUUAGCAGUAGCCACCUGUGUACUUAUGGUGGCUGGCUUUUUUGCGAGUUCAAAUGGAGAUCAGUCAGCAUGGUCUCUUAGAGAAGAGAGAUGUAAGAGACAAAAGCAUAUAUUUUUAGAAAAAUGAAAAAUAGGUAAAAAUGGGAAGGAUGUGUUCUACUUGAAUGCUUAUAUUAUCACUUGAAUUUUUUUCUGAUAUUUGUCCAAUAUAACAUUAGUUAGCUAAAAAAAAAAAAAAAGAAAAGAAAAGGCAAUACGAAGCCGCAGCAAAGUGCGGCCAUGUUUGCAUGUAAUCUCUAAAAUUUAAACCCUAAACCCUAAUAAAAUAUUUAAAACCUAAAUCCUAAAUCUUAAGACCCUAAAACUAUUCUAAACUAUUAACUUCAUUAUUUUUAAGGGACUUACUGUCACGUCAUGUAAAAUUUUUCCCUCCCCUGUUCAAAAACGGUGAACCUCAACUACAAAUUUCAACACAAGAAAUCCAUAAGAAACAUUUGCACAACCUAUGGCCUCCAAUUAGUAUAAGCAAUCCUUCAUUUACUAUAAUGGACAUGUAAACUCAGUCCUUACCUACACGUAUACAUAUACAUAUACAUAUACAUAUAUCGGUCUUAAUUUUAUUAUUCUAGAUAUUUCUAAAAUAAAUUUAAUUAGAAAGUUUUAUAUAAUUAAUUAUUCAAUUCAUCUGAACUCUAAAGAUUUUUUAUUAUUUGUUUAUAAAUUCAUAGAAAGAAGCUUUGACAGUUACUUCUUCAAAUAAUAAUUAAAAUGUAAAUUAUUAUCUAAAACAAAUGAAUAUCAAUAGAGACUAAAAUAUAUAGCAUGAAAUAGUUGAAGCUGCAUUAAAAAGAAAAUUAUGAAAUUAUAAAAUAUUCUUCCUAGUCUUAUAUAUGUUUAGAUUAGAAAAUUAAUUAGCAGGCAAUCUUUUCGUGUAAUUUCUAGUCUUAAAGCAGAAAAAAAAAAUCUUCUUGAAGAAAAAAAAGUUUAGAUGCUUAGGUCUCUACGAGAGGAUUAAGUACUGCUCCAGUGAAAAAUAUAAGUCCAGAUACUUCUUCCUUAAUCAUGAAUAGAAAGGGAUGGUCUGCCAAGAAACUUGGAAGUGGAGCCACCGGUAGAUGACGCGGCGAACAUGUGAAUGUAAGACCCAAGAUUGCGCAAGCUGCAGCCUCUGUACCUUUCUCAUUUACUUCAAUUUUUGAUUUAUGAAACACUUUAGAGACAUAAACAUUGUUGCUAUCAGCAGAAUAAACCAUCAUUUUUAAAUUGGCUGUCACCUGAUCAAAAGGCGAAGUUAAUCACAGCUUUUUCAUGACUUUUGAAGUUUCAAAGUUGUAUGAGAAAUUAAACUUUGGGAUGCUCAUCUCAGAAAGUUGUACUUCCUCAAGGGCUAAAUCUUCAUGUAACAAUCUAGGAUUAGAAUUCAUCUUUUCUAUUAUUUCUUGCAAUCCAUUGUUGCUAUGAGGAAGAAAGAUAUGCAUAAAAAAUCGCUUAUUAUGCUGUCCAAUAAGAUAUGGUAAUUUGAUAACUUUGAAAUCCUCGAAAGAUCCAUAUAAGUGUCUUACAGUGAGUCCACUAAUAAGGGGAACUUUUACGGUCCUCCCAUUAAGAAGAUGAAAGUCUCUGGCUCUAGUUCUUGAAGUAUCAAAAGAAUGAAACCAAGUUCCUUUGAAGUAGAGUGCAAUUGCAAGUGCAAUAGCUGUAUCUUUGUUAAGACAUCCCGUUGAAAGAAAGUUCUAUAUCAGACCUUUGGUUGCGUUUUCCGCCCACAGUUCACUUCCUGUACCACUUGCUCGGCCUGCAAACGAAGUAUUGAUUUCAAUUCCGAGUAUUUCUAUAAUCCAAGAGUAUAAGCAGGUGUAAAUCAAUGUCAAGAUGAUUGCAAGUAACCAUGCUUGAGGAGGCCAAGUUGUUGAAGUUCAUGUGUUAGGUGGAGCGGCCGAUAAACGCAAGGAAAAUUUGGAGAGGCUGAGUUUAUUGAAGUUCAAAGGGAGCGUCCACCAUAUGACUUUCUUUAAUUGUCCUCUAUUUUUUUUUAUCAACAAAUAAAUUUAUUUAACUCAUAA